UGAGUGUAAGAACAGAGUUUCUCUGGACCUGGACUCUACACUCUGUAGAGUAGGGGUGAAGGCACGUCAUUGACUAGACACGGAAUCAUGAAGAGACACUGGGAUGCUCUGCUGGGGCUCCUGUGGGUCCAUGUUUGCUUAGUGACAGGGAUGAAGGUGGAGCAGAGCCCUUCAGCCCUGAGCCUGCAGGAGGGAGCCAGCUCUAUUCUCAAGUGCAAUUACUCUAGCGCAGUGAAGAGUGUGCAGUGGUUCCGACAGAAUCCCGGGGGCGGCAGCCUCACCAGGCUGUUUUACAUAGCUUCAGGGAUGAAGCAGAGCGGGAGGCUAAACUGCACACUGAAUGCUAAGGAACUGUUCAGCACCCUCCACGUCGCGGCCUCUCAGCUGGAAGACUCAGCCACCUACCUGUGUGCGGUGGAGGCACAGUGCUCCCUGGUGAUCUGCAGCCUGCCCCCAAACUGCAGAGGAUCCAUUUGUAGGAAUCAUGGGACAGCGGCUUGACUUUUGGAAAUGAGGGGUCAGCCAAGGAGAGAAUGUGGAGCCGCAUCCUUCUACUUUGAGUGUCCAGGAGGGAAACACCUCUGUCAUCAACUGGAAUUAUCCAGACAGUGGCUCUGGAAACUUCCCUUGGUAUAAGCAAGAAUUUGGGAAA